rnacentral:rRNA from 1 species
AUUGAACGCUGGCGGCAUGCCUUACACAUGCAAGUCGAACGGCAGCAUGAUCUAGCUUGCUAGAUUGAUGGCGAGUGGCGAACGGGUGAGUAAUACAUCGGAACGUGCCCUGUAGUGGGGGAUAACUAGUCGAAAGAUUAGCUAAUACCGCAUACGACCUGAGGGUGAAAGUGGGGGACCGCAAGGCCUCAUGCUAUAGGAGCGGCCGAUGUCUGAUUAGCUAGUUGGUGAGGUAAAGGCUCACCAAGGCGACGAUCAGUAGCUGGUCUGAGAGGACGAUCAGCCACACUGGGACUGAGACACGGCCAAGACUCCUACGGGAGGCAGCAGUGGGGAAUUUUGGACAAUGGGCGAAAGCCUGAUCCAGCAAUGCCGCGUGUGUGAAGAAGGCCUUCGGGUUGUAAAGCACUUUUGUCCGGAAAGAAAUGGCUCUGGUUAAUACCUGGGGUCGAUGACGGUACCGGAAGAAUAAGGACCGGCUAACUACGUG